rnacentral:rRNA from 1 species
GAUGAACGCUGGCGGCGUGCCUAAUACAUGCAAGUCGAGCGAACAGACAAGGAGCUUGCUCCUUUGACGUUAGCGGCGGACGGGUGAGUAACACGUGGAUAACCUACCUAUAAGACUGGGAUAACUUCGGGAAACCGGAGCUAAUACCGGAUAAUAUAUUGAACCGCAUGGUUCAAUAGUGAAAGACGGUUUUGCUGUCACUUAUAGAUGGAUCCGCGCCGCAUUAGCUAGUUGGUAAGGUAACGGCUUACCAAGGCAACGAUACGUAGCCGACCUGAGAGGGUGAUCGGCCACACUGGAACUGAGACACGGUCCAGACUCCUACGGGAGGCAGCAGUAGGGAAUCUUCCGCAAUGGGCGAAAGCCUGACGGAGCAACGCCGCGUGAGUGAUGAAGGUCUUCGGAUCGUAAAACUCUGUUAUCAGGGAAGAACAAAUGUGUAAGUAACUGUGCACGUCUUGACGGUACCUGAUCAGAAAGCCACGGCUAACUACGUG